GUCCUCACUUCGGCAGUACAUGUACUAAAACUGGAACGAUACAGAGAAGAUUAGCAUGGACCCUGAGCAAGGAUGACAUGCAAAUUCGUGAAGCGUUCCAUAUUUUU
rnacentral:snRNA from 1 species